rnacentral:rRNA from 1 species
CCUACGGGAGGCAGCAGUCGAGAAUCUUGGACAAUGUACGAAAGUAUGAUCCAGCGACGCCGCGUGGAGGAUGAAGGAGCUAUGCUUCGUAAACUCCUUUUAUGAGGGAAGAAGAUCUGACGGUACCUCAUGAAUAAGCCACGGCUAACUACGUGCCAGCAGCCGCGGUAAUACGUAGGUGGCAAGCGUUGUCCGGAAUUACUGGGCGUAAAGGGUGCGUAGGCGGAAAGUUUAAGUAGAAAGUGAAAGGUUGGAGCUCAACUCCAACAUUGCUUCCUAUACUGGACCAUCUUGAGUUUCGGAGAGGAAGAUGGGAACGACACGUGUAGCGGUGAAAUGCGUUGAUAUGUGUCGGAACCCCAAUAGCGAAGGCAAUCUUCUGGGACGAAUACUGACGCCUUAGGCACGAAAGCCAAGGUAGCGAACAGGAUUAGAUACCCUGGUAGUCUUGGCCCUAAACGAUGUUCACUAGGUGUCGGGGAUUUUUCUUCGGUGCCGCAGCUAACGCAUUAAGUGAACCGCCUGGGGACUACGACCGCAAGGUUGAAACUCAAAGGAAUUGACGG